UAGUCCUACAGCAGAGUAGCGCCCACGCACACAUGACCCGGCCAUGGCCACUAAUCCAUGCAUGCACGCACCACUUCCGGCCACUAGCUAACUAAUCCACCCAUGCACUAAUAAACUUACUUGACCGGCCCACGCAAGUAGGUAGCUUAUCCAUCCGUUGCAUGCACGGAAUAGUCAACAAUGCAUGCAUUGACUACUGCCACUACGUCACACACGCACGCACAUCUACGCCACAUCGCCGAUGCGUCCCGCGCGCCACUGACACGCCUGACGAACCCGACGAGCCCGACGGCACAAGUGUGUCCCGUCCGUUCCGCGCGUACCCUACGCGCCCGACGAACCCGACUACACAUGCCGUGGCUUAUUCCAACACACACCCCCUAAGCCACGGCCUAGAGGAGUCCGUCGUCGUCGGCGUUGGCACCGGCCAAGAGAGCCUGCUCCGCCCCCGGUCCUUUCCGCAGCUGCGGGCACUCGCGCCGGAAGUGCCCGUGCUCCCCGCACUUGUAGCAGCGCCUGCACCUGUUGCCGCCGCUCCCCGACGCCAUGCUGCGCCCGUCGUCGUCGUCCCGAGCACUGCCGUGUCGACGCUCCCGCGCUGCCCACUGCGCCGCCGUCAUGAGCAGCUGCUCACCCCCGCGCUCGCCGCCGGCUUGUCCACGGCGCCGAACCCGCUCGUCGAACGCCAUCGUCGUCAUGUCGUGGAACUGCUCGAUGCCGACGACGACGGGGAAGAGGCAAUCCGGCACCGUAUCCAGCAACUUCUUGACAAGUGCUACGUCGCCCAGCGUCUCCUCGAGGUUGGCAUACCUCGCCGCCAUCGCCGCGAGCCUCCCGCCGUACACGUCGAGCUCCUCGCCGUCCGCCAUCUUCAUCCGGUCGAAUUCGCCGCGCAGCGUCCCCAGCCUCGCCGCGCGGACCCGAUCGGCGCCAAUGAACCUCACCUUCAGGGAGUCCCAUACCUCCCUGGCGAUGAGCUUCGUCGACACCUGCAGCAGCACAUCCUCCGGCAACGCCCCGAGAAGCAACGCCCGAGCCAUCUUGUCCUUCCGCGUGUUCACCGCCGCGUCGCCCGGUGCCACCGCCUCCCAUACGGUGUGGACGUCGAGGAUCGCCUGCGCCUUGAUGGCCCAGACCAUGUAGUUGUCCGCGGUCAGCAUCGGCAUCGCCAUCGUCGCCGAUCCGCCCGCGCCGCCGCCGUGUGGGACGAGCGCCAUGGUCGCCAGUGAUCGCCCGAACCAAAGCUCUGAUACCAAUUGUUGAAACCGAGGAUUGCCGGACAAUCACAGGAACACGAGGAGAUGAAUUUUGCAGGGCGACAAACACCCGCGGCGAUGAACGCCCGCCCCGGCAACGAACGCCGGGGCCCUUUUUUUCUCUCUAUAUUUCUUCACCUCGGCUCCGCAGCCCCGUUACUAUUCCCAAAGUAUUGACUGGAUUUACAAACAAACUUGUGACCAUGCUUUGUAGUCCUACAACAGAGUAGCGCCCACGCACACAUGACCCGGCCAUGGCCACUAACCCAUGCAUGCACGCACCACUUCCGGCCACUAGCUAACUAAUUCACCCAUGCACUAACAAACUUACUUGACCGGCCCACUCAAGUAGGUAGCUUAUCCAUCCGUUGCAUGCACGGACUAAUCAACAAUGCAUGCACUGACUACUGCCACUACGUCACACACGCACGCACACCUACGCCACGUCGCCGCUGCG
rnacentral:lncRNA from 1 species